rnacentral:lncRNA from 1 species
UGACCUGCGCCCUCUGCUCCAAUCUCCAUCGACUCUGACUCUGCUAGCUGCUGCUGCUGUUCUGGUGCUGUGGUUUCGUUUCUGAAUUCAGAGUGCGUGCGUUGUUGUUCCGUCGGUCUGUGUAGUUAGUGGAUGGCGAUGGAUCUGAAUGCAGUUAGUUCGUCAGAGUGCGUGUGUUGUCUGUGGAAGGAGAUAAAUAUGAAUGCAAUGGGAUUGUUGGUUUCUUCUAUUUGAAUCUGGUCACCACCAACUUGUUAUGCCACUAAAAAAUUUCUCAGCAGAGGAAGUUAGUUGCGGUAAUUUUCGUUUGGAUUUUCAUACCAUGCGCGCACAGAGAUCGAAAUAGGUAGGGGACUCUGUUUCUAUUUCGUUGUGCUGUCUGUUCCCAAACAUAGCUCCUCUGCAGCCGUAUGUCAACGAGGUGGAAGGGGAUGGCGGUCCAACUGACUCCAUCUGAAGAGGUGCUGCUGUUUAGAUCCUACUCCCUACAUGCCAGCUGGAGUAGCUGAAGUUUAUCUCUGAUGCAUCAUGAUCCUACUCCCUACUCUUGGCGUUGGAAUGCUGUACUUGGCGCCUGAUCAUGGAACCAGAUCCUCUAACAUUGCCAAGGAAAGUCAUCGUGCUACCGUGUUUGCCUAGUGUAAAAUAAAGAAAAAAAGUUAGGGACUGUUAUUAGGUAUAGUUAGUAGGUUGUUUACUCUUGGUAUUUACUGUAGAUAUAAAUAAUUUAAUUUUAAUUUUAUUUCACCAUCAAUUUGUUUGUACUCCCUCCAUUUCACAAUGUAGUGCUUCCUUUAUUCUUGUGCUUCAACUUUGACCGUAAAUUUAACUAACAAGACCGAUUGCGGCGGGAGCAAAAAUUAUAUCAGUGAAUUCGUAUUCGAAAGAAGUUUUCAAUUAUAUAAUUUUUUCUCCUGCCGUAGUUGGUUUCGUUGGUUAAAUUUAUGGUCAAAGUUAGAUCUCGGAAAGCGCGGGCGCACUAUAUUUUGGAAUGGAGGAAGUAUGUAAUUAAUAUAAAUGUACACAAUAGAUCAUCAAUUUGCAAAUUAAUUUAAAUCAUUUUAGCCAUAAUCAUAUGAAUAUAAAGAAGAAAAGUUAGCGCAUUGUACCUUCUCUAACUUUCCUUCUCAAUGUUAGAGGAUCCGGUUCCCCUGAUCAUGGGCUUCAUGAUGAAAAGGAAGCCGGAAGUGAUCUUUUCUGUAAUAAUAGUUGGUUACCCAGAAACGUUCUCUGAAUUUAUGUGUUAUUUUUGUAAUCAGAUACACUGUACUCCCUCCGUUCCUAAAUAAGUAGAUGAUGUUUGGUAGUUUAAUUUGAACUACCAAAACGUCAUGUAUUUAGGAGCGGACGAAGUAUGUUCUAAAAUUUGGUGAUGUCAAUUUUUUUAGUUCAGUUAAAUCAAAUGGUUAUAGAGUUGCACAUUGCUCAAUAUAAAAGCUCGCUAACUUGUAGUGACGUGAGAGAGAGAAAAAAAAAUCUUACAAUCAUCUUAUGCUACUACUUUGUCAGCUGCUAUUUUGCUUCCCCUAAAAAAAGUUGUUAUUUUGCUACAGGGACAUAAUUUUUAUCCUCUCUGAUGAUGUGUGCCCAAGGCCUCCAUGAGCUGGCUAACAUUUGAAUUUCAACCCUUUCAAAAGUUCUCUUAACAAAUGGACCUUUUCACUUCCUCACAAAAAAAAGA